ensembl:lncRNA
UCGGCACCGAGAGCACCCUGCCGGGACUCUGGAUCCGCCUCUCGCCCGGGUGGAGCGGCCACUGCUCCGGACAGCACCGAUUACCGGAGAGAGGCCGUGGCGACCCAAACCAGAUUCCAGAUGCAAGCCGACCUGUUGCAUGCAGAAAAGCGGCGGGGUGAGAUGUUCCAGGUCUCUCCUCCCCGCCUUGCCGGCCUCCGCCCGCCACGAGAUCUGACAGCCAGGAGCCCCCGGGACCUUGCGUGCAGACGCCGAGAGCCUAGUGCCCAAAGAGAAAACGCGUAAGUGCUGGGAGGCCACCGGGUAAUCAUCCCACUGCAAAUUGCCGCAUUGUGAUUGUGGCAAAUCAUCCCGCUAACCCGGGGAAGGAAAAGGAGAGGCGCGGGGGACUGAGCCGGGCAGGGAGUCGAGUCUACUGCAAAAAGAGCAUCCAGUGCAGACAAGUCCUAGUCUCGCCUUUUACCCUGGCGGCAGACUGAGCGCGUGCACUUUACGUCCCUACCUCGGAGUUAAAACGGGUCGGCCGAUGGUCCCCAGAGCCCCUCCACAGCGAGUCCGAGACUUCAGCUUCAGCACCAGAGAGUGGACAGCGCCCUGCCGGUCUUCGCCCAAGGGUGGGUUCCCGCCAGUACUCUGCUUCCUAGCCCGGUUCCCCAGAUCCCUCGCGAGGGAGGCCAGGAGGCGAGACAGGGUUCACCGAGAAAAGGAGGGGAAGGGUUUCAUCUUCCCUAUUUUCAGGAAUUUAAGUAUCAAAUUCUGGGAGGGCAUUCUAUCGUCCCUCCUCUAAAAGCAUUUGGAAUAACUUGGUGCCAAGCACAAGCAGGAUGUCGAAGAGGAAAGAUGUGCUCUGGUAAGUGGUGAGCCUAGGCACAAGUGGGACAGUGGUUCUACCGGGGACCCCGGCACUGGUGUCCUGUGGAAGGUCAGGGCAUCCAAGUCACAUUCUCUCUACUGCAAACCCCCCUUCUCUCUCACUCUCCCCGAAGUCUCCAUAGGCCUUAACACCGGUAAAUGAAGAGAAAAGAGUGGGAUGGUGGGAGAAGAUAUCGAGCUAUGGAGGCCAAGGUAAAAACCACAUUUUAUCAGGGCUGGAACAACUUAGUGAAGAUGACAUCUGUCCAAAUUGCACGUUGAGGUCUGUUUAGCCAAAGGAGCACGGAGUGCUCUUUGUGUUAGGAGAUGAAUGACUAUUUUGCCAAGAAGGAAAAUAGCCAUCCAAGGGAAGAUGUUAUCACAAAAGGGGGCUAACAGAGGUGGGGGAGGAAGAGAGGGGGACAGGACCCCCCCAACUAGAGUGUGGUUUCCAGGCAACCAGCCCAGCCUCUUGUUUCCGUGGUUACAGUGAGUGGAGGGGCUUUGGCUAUUGAUUUAUCUGGAAGCAACUUUAUUCUUGAAAAUACCUGCUUUGGAGCUCCUUCCUUCCCUGGUCUGGAUGUGAGUCAACAACCGCUUCCUCAAAAUUCCUGGGGGUUAAGAGUAAAUCCUGGAAGGCAAAUUUUUUUUCUUUUAAAUCAAGGUGCCUGGUGAAGCAAGUACCUUUCUGCCACCUCAGUCCUUCCUUUCCUCUCUCCCACCUCCUUCAGAAAGGUAAUCAUAUCCUACCCUGUCCUUUCUCUGGGGUUUACUGGGGCUUUUAUUUUUCUCCUAUGAUCCUUUAGACAGAAGGGCUCAUCCGCGGCCACCCCAGCCCUGUGUGCUUUGCUUUUUUCCCUUUACAUGAGAAAGACACAUUUGUUCUUCAUGAAUUGGAGGGAGAGAGGACACUGUCCAACAGUGUCUCCAGUAGAGAGAGGCUUUUCCCUUGUUUUGGCAGUGAUUCCUUCCUCCCUAAACACCCCUCAUGCUGGAGAGGGUGAAUUCUUGAUCAACCCCCUCUUUUCAGACCACAGACCACACAGAAACCACAGGUGGUAAAAAUGGGACACCCUUAGCAAAAGCCAUUUGCAUCACCAGCAUCAGAUUCCUCAAAAAUCUAUUUUCUUUCUCUUCAGCUCUGCCUUCAUAAUUAGGAAAUGAAGCACUUAAAGCUUCUAAUCUUCUGAGCUUUUCAUUUCCCUGGAUUGACAAACGCUGAUUUUGCUUUUCAUCUAUCAGACUAGUCUGCCUGCAUUCAUUCGCAGUAUCUGGGUAGAAAAUCACUUUACCCAUCAUUUCUCAAAGGCAGAUGUAACAUUCUCAGGAUGACUUAAGGGGAAAUUGCCAGUAAGUCAGAACAACCUGAGCUCUGUGUGCUACUUUACUCAGACUACUUCUUAAGAGCCAUGAACUUUCUUUUUCUACAGUAAAACCUUGUUUUAAACUGAGCUAUCAUUUGACAACAGAGGAAUAGAGGAAAUCUCUCUUCCAGGCAGUAACUAUCAUUUUUAUCUUUGUUGCUCUGCAUUACAGACACACAUAUCUUUACUUUUCACCUUUUCUUUCACUCAUUGCUAAUGUAAAUUUAAAAAAAAAUCAUUUUAAUUCCAGACUAAGUUGAACGCCAAAAUUAUCCUCCAUGGGCUGGCUAGAUAUAAUUUUGGGGACAUUUACAUUAAAAUGCUUUCCCCUCACACGUUACUAUAGAAACUUCUUUUUAGUUCAGACCAGACAGCUGGUCUGCUUUUUGUACUUUUCUUCCCAAAGAAGUGCCUUCCUUUAUGAAUUCUCUGGGGCAGCUAUCAUUGAUCACAUCAAUAAAAUCCCAUAGCAACUGUGUUUUUUUUUUUUAAAUUAUUAUUCCUUUUCUGCUCAUUUUCUUUAUGGACAAAGGGUCUACUUUCCUUUCAAGAGGAGAACUGAGAUCUUACUGGCCAGAAGGGAAGAAGUAUUCUUUCAUUGGUUGUUGUGUGUUGCCUUGUCAACCAAUCAGAGGAUGCCAUUUAUCCUUUUCUGACUAGCUAGGUGAGCAGGGUACCCAGAAUGAUUGAAUCUGCUUUAGUACCAUCCAGUAGCAAAGGAUGGGACUCAGAGUUCUGAGACCCAGGAUGUGCUAUUUGCUUUGGCCAACUCAGAUUCAUUGGACUUGCAAAGAUGACUUCUGUAACCUAGUUAUUUGUAGCUUACUCGAACACAUCUGAAUUACAUAUUAUUCUUUUUCAAAAAAUUUUAUUUUAUUUUUGGUCGAGCUUGGUUUUCAUUGCUGUCUGGGCUUUCUCUAGUUGUGAUGAGCAGGGGCUACUCUCUAGUUGCGAUGUGCAGGCUGCUCAUUAUCCUGGCUUCUCUUAUUGUGGAGCAUGGACUCUAGAGCUCAGGCUUAGUAGCUGUGGUGCUCGGGCUUAGUUGCUCCACAGCAUGCAGAAUCUUUCCAGACUGGGGAUCAAACCCCUGUUCCCUGCAUUGGACAGGCAGAUUCUUAACCGCUGGACCAUGAGGAACUCCUGAAUUACACAUUAUUCUGUGAAUUUUUUUCAUUUUAAAAUAUAUUAUGAUCAUUCUUCCAAGUCCAUGCAGAUUAUGAGUAUCAGCACACCAAUGGUCCAGGGAUCUUUGUGAUUUCCUUUAGAAGUAUAGAAUUUAUCCCUAAGGGAUUUGGUGAAAAUUUGGAGAGUUGAGGUUGGGAAGCUAGAAGAGGAAAGAGCUUUGUUCCUUAUGAUGAACAUAUAUCUCAGCAUUUGGAUUCAUUCUGUCUAACUUUGAUGUCCCUGGUAGUUUUAUUUGUUUGUUUUUCUAUAUUAAUUCUUCACAGCUGUCUUCUGGCCUGCAUUUUCAGUGACAAAAAGGUGGAUAGAUGGAGACAAUGACCCUCUAAUUUGGUGUAAGAGAAGACAUAACUUUCCAGGAAGGCUGUGACAG